UUGAUCAAUUAAGUGAUCUCAAGGUAUAGUUGUCAAAACAGGAGGCAAAAUUUGAAUUUGUGUUGCAUUUUGCAAACAACAUUAAAUUAAGAUUUGGAAAAGACAAAUUCAACCGAAUGAAAGAUUACAGUUUACUAUUCAAUUGUUUUGAAGUCAAACACACUACAUCUACAUGCACUUAAAACGAAAAAAAAACUCAAAAUUGUUUUCACAUGAAAACAUAAUGCCACGCAAAUUCAAAUUUUCAGCUCACGUUAUUGUGACAGCUAUACCUCGAGAUCAGUUAUAUUUCCUCUACUUAAACACCGUAUAGAGUGUUAAAAGAGAGUAGAAAUUUUGACUAACUCAAUGUAAAUUAGCUUUUU